CACGUAGGGUGCGAGCGUUGUCCGGAAUUAUUGGGCGUAAAGGGUGCGUAGGUGGCGGGGUAAGUCAGGUGUGAAAUUUCGGAGCUUAACUCCGAAACUGCAUUUGAUACUGCCUUGCUUGAGGACUGGAGAGGAGACUGGAAUUCACGGUGUAGCAGUGAAAUGCGUAGAUAUCGUGAGGAAGACCAGUGGCGAAGGCGGGUCUCUGGACAGUUCCUGACACUGAGGCACGAAGGCCAGGGGAGCAAACGGG
rnacentral:rRNA from 1 species